UACGGAGGGGGCUAGCGUUGUUCGGAAUUACUGGGCGUAAAGCGUACGUAGGCGGCUUUGUAAGUUAGAGGUGAAAGCCCGGGGCUCAACUCCGGAAUUGCCUUUAAGACUGCAUCGCUUGAAUCAUGGAGAGGUGAGUGGAAUUCCGAGUGUAGAGGUGAAAUUCGUUAGAUAUUCGGAAGAACACCAGUGGCGAAGGCGACUCACUGGACAUGUAUUGACGCUGAGGUA
rnacentral:rRNA from 1 species